rnacentral:rRNA from 1 species
UACGAAGGGGGCUAGCGUUGUUCGGAAUUACUGGGCGUAAAGCGCACGUAGGCGGAUAUUUAAGUCGGGGGUGAAAUCCCGGGGCUCAACCCCGGAACUGCCUUCGAUACUGGGUAUCUUGAGUUCGGAAGAGGUGAGUGGAAUUGCGAGUGUAGAGGUGAAAUUCGUAGAUAUUCGCAGGAACACCAGUGGCGAAGGUGGCUCACUGGUCCGAUACUGACGCUGAGGUGCGAAAGCGUGGGGAGCAAACAGG